rnacentral:rRNA from 1 species
UACACACCGCCCGUCACACCAUGGGAGUGGGUUUCACCAGAAGGUAGUUAGCCUAACCGCAAGGAGGGCGACUACCACGGUGAGAUUCAUGACUGGGGUGAAGUCGUAACAAGGUACCC